rnacentral:rRNA from 1 species
UACGUAGGGUGCAAGCGUUGUCCGGAAUUAUUGGGCGUAAAGAGCUCGUAGGCGGUCUGUUGCGUCGGCUGUGAAAACCCGGGGCUCAACUCCGGGCCUGCAGCCGAUACGGGCAGACUAGAGUUCGGCAGGGGAGACGUGAAUUCCUGGUGUAGCGGUGAAAUGCGCAGAUAUCAGGAGGAACACCGGUGGCGAAGGCGGGUCUCUGGGCCGAUACUGACGUGAGGAGCGAAAGCGUGGGGAGCAAACAGG